rnacentral:lncRNA from 1 species
GUGGAGAGAGACUUUGAAAGGGAGUAUGGAAAACUGCAGCAGCUGGAAGAGCAGACCAAGCGCCUGCAGAAGGACAUGAAGAAAAGCACCGAUGCCGACCUGGCCAUGUCCAAAUCUGCUGUGAAGAUAUCCCUGGACCUCCUCUCCAACCCGCUGUGUGAGCAGGAUCAGGACUUUCUGCGCAUGGUGACAGCCCUAGACACAGCCAUGAAGCGGAUGGAUGCUUUCAACCAGGAGAAGGUGAACCAGAUCCAGAAGACGGUGAUUGAACCCCUGAAAAAGUUCGGCAGCAUAUUCCCAAGCCUUAACAUGGCAGUGAAGCGACGGGAGCAGGCCUUGCAGGACUACGGCAGGCUGCAGGCCAAGGUGGAGAAGUACGAGGAAAAGGAGAAAACUGGUCCCGUGCUGGCCAAGCUCCACCAGGCCCGGGAAGAGCUACGGCCUGUACGGGAAGACUUUGAGGCUAAGAACAAACAACUCCUGGAUGAGAUGCCACGAUUCUAUAACAGCCGACUUGACUAUUUCCAGCCCAGCUUUGAGUCCCUGAUCCGGGCACAGGUGAGACAAGGUUCUUCCCUGGGGGAAUCAUCUUUGUAGGAACCCAGUUCCCAUUAGAUGUAGCCAUGCUCUGCACAGACAGCAGUGCCUCCCUGCCCCAGGCACUAUGAAAAUUCAUGUGGUGUCCCAGUCAGCCCUGGUGCCUAGCACUGAUACUGUUCUGGAAUUUCCAUUGGACGUCCUCCAUUGGCAAUCCACUCAAUCCCAACCCUAUGAUAGGGUUCCUUUUUGUUUAACUCUUUACCCCUUGAGUUCUUCCUCCCAUGCUUAGUUA